rnacentral:rRNA from 1 species
ACGAACGCUGGCGGCGUGCCUAAUACAUGCAAGUCGAACGGUCUUUCUAUGGAAGCUUGCUUCCACUGAGAAGAUAGUGGCGAACGGGUGAGUAACACGUGGGUAACCUGCCCAUAAGAGGGGGAUAACAUCCGGAAACGGGUGCUAAUACCGCAUAGUUUUCUUGAUCGCAUGAUUGAGAAAGGAAAGAUGGCCUUUGUGCUGUCGCUUAUGGAUGGACCCGCGGCGUAUUAGUUAGUUGGUGAGGUAACGGCUCACCAAGACGAUGAUACGUAGCCGACCUGAGAGGGUGAUCGGCCACAUUGGGACUGAGACACGGCCCAAACUCCUACGGGAGGCAGCAGUAGGGAAUCUUCCGCAAUGGACGAAAGUCUGACGGAGCAACGCCGCGUGAGUGAAAGAAGGUUUUCGGAUCGUAAAACUCUGUUGUCAGAGAAGAACAAGUUGGAGAGUAACUGCUCCAGCCUUGACGGUAUCUGACCAGAAAGCCACGGCUAACUACGUGCCAGCCGCCGC